CGUGGCGCAAUGGCAGCGCGUCUGUCUUCGGAACAUAAUGUUGUGGGUUCGACCCCCGUCGG
rnacentral:ncRNA from 14 species